AAGGGUAUAGCUUAGGGGCAGAGCGGGUGCUUAGCACGCACAAGGUCCUAGGUUCAAUCCCCAGUACCUCCA
rfam:Camelus ferus unplaced genomic scaffold scaffold803, whole genome shotgun sequence.